rnacentral:hammerhead_ribozyme from 1 species
AUCUAACUGACGAAUGUCAAAUAGGACGAAACGUGCGUCCUGGAU